UACAAUUGAAUCUUGGGUGGGCAUGGUUUCCCUUCGAAAGGAGGUGAAGCCAUGGAAGUGAAAGAUGCAUUAACGAUCAUGUUUCUCUUUGGAACGUUCAUUCUUGCUCUUUUAACAUACAUCAAUAAUAACAACAAGAGAAAGUAAAAACCCACCCAAAGGUUGAGGCCAGAGGUGGGUUUUGUUCCUAUAAGACUUAGAAGGGAAUAAACCAUCCAAGCCAAUUGUAUUGACCAAGUGUUCGCAGCACUUGGU
rnacentral:misc_RNA from 1 species